GUUUGACCUCGGAUCAGG
rnacentral:rRNA from 4 species